rnacentral:rRNA from 1 species
UGAGGAAUAUUGGUCAAUGGACGCAAGUCUGAACCAGCCAAGUAGCGUGCAGGAUGACGGCCCUAUGGGUUGUAAACUGCUUUUAUAUGGGGAUAAAGUGGGGAACGUGUUCCCUUUUGCAGGUACCAUAUGAAUAAGGACCGGCUAAUUCCGUGCCAGCAGCCGCGGUAAUACGGAAGGUUCGGGCGUUAUCCGGAUUUAUUGGGUUUAAAGGGAGCUUAGGCAGUUUGGUAAGCGUGUUGUGAAAUGUAGGAGCUCAACUUCUAGAUUGCAGCGCGAACUGUCAGACUGGAGUGCGAAGAACGUAGGCGGAAUUCUUGGUGUAGCAGUGAAAUGCUUAGAUAUCAUGAAGAACUCCGAUUGCGAAGGCAGCUUACGGGAGCGCAACUGACGCUGAAGCUCGAAGGUGCGGGUAUCGAACAGG